rnacentral:hammerhead_ribozyme from 1 species
GCACUGCCGAAGAGUCCCACAACAGGACGAAACGGGCUUCCAGUGC